GGAAGGAAUCCAAUGGUGUGCCAGUGUCUGUGUCAGCACUGCUGAAUUAGGUCACAAUAAUGGCUGCUGCCAGUGUCACAGUCCCUGGGGAUGUGGGCCCAGCUACCUCCUGCCUCUCCAAGAUGUGCUUCAAGCUUACCUAGGUCUGGACUUCUCACCAACUCUAGGAGGAUAGUGGCAGAAAUAUCACUUCAUUCACCUACCAACAUCUUUGUGGGCUCUUCCUCACCAUUGGGACAAGAAAUCACCCAAAAGGCUCCAUAAUGUCAAAUGCUUCAGACUCUGAACCACGUCCAGAAACCACAGAGCAGACAGAGACAAUCCCUAUUGUGGACUUGGAACCCCCUCUUGCUCUUCCUCCUCUUCCUCCUGCAGAGGAUGAAUGGGGCUCAGUUCCUGAGCGCACCAACGUAGAUGCUUCUCCUUUUCCCUUUGCUCGAUGUGGAACAAUUCCUGCCAUCCUGGGAGUCUGCAGCCUGCUGCUCUUGGUGCUGUGUGCAUUCUUUGGUUAUCACUACUUUCAAAGUGUUCCGUUAUCAGAAAAGAAGCUGAAGAGCCUUAACCAAUGGAUUGAGUCUUUCAAAAACAAAGCAGAAACAUUUAUUCGGGUCCAAAAGAUUCUUGAUGAAAACACAGAAACCCUGAAGUGGCUCCAAAACCAGAAUGUGUAUCUCCUUGAGGCUUUAGAAGAACUAAAGACCAUGCAAGGAGACAGGUGUGGACAUUCUCUGAAUAACUGGGUGCAAUACAGAGACCACUGCUACCACCAAACCGCGGAAAUGGUCUCUUGGUUAAACUGUUCUGAUCUUUGUGUCACUUUGAAUGCUACAUUUUUAAAGACAGAAAGGGGCAUAUUGAUGAGUAUCAUGAAGUUACUUGCAGAAAAUCAUACUUGGCUUGGCCUAUCUUAUAGGGAAGAGGACAAUAAAUGGAGGUGGGAGGAUGGCUCCUUUCCUUCUCCUGAGCUGCAUUUACCACAGCCAAGUCUGGAUUUCCAGGGGAAGUGUGUGUACGCAAAUGUGCACACCAUUGGUACUGAUAACUGCACCAGACCCUAUUCAUGCCUGUGUGAGAAAGCUGUCCGCUAAAAAAUCAGAAGAUUCAAAGAAACGCUAUGAGGUGUGGCAGACAGACUUUUGGUGUACAAGAUAAGAGAGGAGGCCUGGAUUCAAGCAUCUUCUGUGACAUUUCUUGUAUAUUGGACAUUCUAUCCAAUCUCCACCCUCUCCACCUUGUUCUGUUCCCUGAGAGGCUGACCUUUAUCAGGAACAUCAGUGGAUUUCCUUGCUGUCUGGCUUCAUUAGGAUUGACCAUGGGAAACACCUUCAGGAAAUGAGAAGGGGGCUGCAUUUUUUCACUGAGGGGUACAAAUCCUAUCCAAGUCUCUUGCUUACAGCUAUAAAUCCUCUCUCCAUAUUUAGUAGUGAUGGCAGCUCUUGCUCUUCAGGUCUUAGCAUGUGUGGAUAAUGCCUCUCAAGCUGUUGCUAGCUCCAGGAUGCUCAUUAUCUUUUUGGUUUCCUUAACCCUGCCCACACCUUUGUAAAUAAUCUUCUCAUUAAACUCUUUUCAAUCACUCCUUUAAAUAUGCCGCAGGAACUCUGACUGACACAAGUACAUUUGAGAUUUGUAUGGAGUACAGGAACUCUUCAUACAGUUCAUUCUG